CUCCGGGUGAUCCCGCCGGACCCGACUGCUAUCAGAGUGGGACUAAGCCAUGCGAGUCAACAUAGCAAUAUGUGGCAUACGGCUCAGUAACACGUAGUCAACAUGCCCAGGGGACGUGGAUAACCUCGGGAAACUGAGGAUAAACCGCGAUAGGUCAUCACUUCUGGAAUGGGUAAUGACUUAAAUCUAUAUGGCCCCUGGAUUGGACUGCGGCCGAUCAGGCUGUUGGUGAGGUAAUGGCCCACCAAACCUGUAACCGGUACGGGCUCUGAGAGGAGGAGCCCGGAGAUGGGCACUGAGACAAGGGCCCAGGCCCUAUGGGGCGCAGCAGGCGCGAAACCUCUGCAAUAGGCGAAAGCUUGACAGGGUUACUCUGAGUGAUUUCCGUUAAGGAGAUCUUUUGGCACCUCUAAAAAUGGUGCAGAAUAAGGGGUGGGCAAGUCUGGUGUCAGCCGCCGCGGUAAUACCAGCACCCCGAGUGGUCGGGACGUUUAUUGGGCCUAAAGCAUCCGUAGCCGGUUCUACAAGUCUUCCGUUAAAUCCACCUGCUUAACAGAUGGGCUGCGGAAGAUACUAUAGAGCUAGGAGGCGGGAGAGGCAAGCGGUACUCGAUGGGUAGGGGUAAAAUCCGUUGAUCCAUUGAAGACCACCAGUGGCGAAGGCGGCUUGCCAGAACGCGCUCGACGGUGAGGGAUGAAAGCUGGGGGAGCAAACCGGAUUAGAUACCCGGGUAGUCCCAGCUGUAAACGAUGCAGACUCGGUGAUGAGUUGGCUUAUUGCUAACUCAGUGCCGCAGGGAAGCCGUUAAGUUUGCCGCCUGGGGAGUACGGUCGCAAGACUGAAACUUAAAGGAAUUGGCGGGGGAGCA
rnacentral:rRNA from 1 species